rnacentral:rRNA from 1 species
GAUUAGUGGCGAACGGGUGAGUAACACGUGAGUAACCUGCCCUUGACUCUGGGAUAAGCCUGGGAAACUGGGUCUAAUACCGGAUAUGACCUUCCAUCGCAUGGUGGUUGGUGGAAAGCUUUUGUGGUUUUGGAUGGACUCGCGGCCUAUCAGCUUGUUGGUGGGGUAAUGGCCUACCAAGGCGACGACGGGUAGCCGGCCUGAGAGGGUGACCGGCCACACUGGGACUGAGACACGGCCCAGACUCCUACGGGAGGCAGCAGUGGGGAAUAUUGCACAAUGGGCGCAAGCCUGAUGCAGCGACGCCGCGUGAGGGAUGACGGCCUUCGGGUUGUAAACCUCUUUCAGUAGGGAAGAAGCGAAAGUGACGGUACCUGCAGAAGAAGCGCCGGCUAACUACGUGCCAGCAGCCGCGGUAAUACGUAGGGCGCAAGCGUUAUCCGGAAUUAUUGGGCGUAAAGAGCUCGUAGGCGGUUUGUCGCGUCUGCCGUGAAAGUCCGGGGCUCAACUCCGGAUCUGCGGUGGGUACGGGCAGACUAGAGUGAUGUAGGGGAGACUGGAAUUCCUGGUGUAGCGGUGAAAUGCGCAGAUAUCAGGAGGAACACCGAUGGCGAAGGCAGGUCUCUGGGCAUUAACUGACGCUGAGGAGCGAAAGCAUGGGGAGCGAACAGGAUUAGAUACCCUGGUAGUCCAUGCCGUAAACGUUGGGCACUAGGUGUGGGGGACAUUCCACGUUUUCCGCGCCGUAGCUAACGCAUUAAGUGCCCCGCCUGGGGAGUACGGCCGCAAGGCUAAAACUCAAAGGAAUUGACGGGGGCCCGCACAAGCGGCGGAGCAUGCGGAUUAAUUCGAUGCAACGCGAAGAACCUUACCAAGGCUUGACAUGGACCGGACCGCCGCAGAAAUGUGGUUUCCCCUUUGGGGCUGGUUUACAGGUGGUGCAUGGUUGUCGUCAGCUCGUGUCGUGAGAUGUUGGGUUAAGUCCCGCAACGAGCGCAACCCUCGUUCUAUGUUGCCAGCACGUGAUGGUGGGGACUCAUAGGAGACUGCCGGGGUCAACUCGGAGGAAGGUGGGGACGACGUCAAAUCAUCAUGCCCCUUAUGUCUUGGGCUUCACGCAUGCUACAAUGGCCGGUACAAAGGGUUGCGAUACUGUGAGGUGGAGCUAAUCCCAAAAAGCCGGUCUCAGUUCGGAUUGGGGUCUGCA